UCUGGCCUUCGUCCUUGAUUCAUUCCUCUCAAGAUUGCCUUCAGAUGAUAUCUAGGUUUAUCUAUUAUUUUAUUUCCCCACACCAGGGGCUCUACCUUCUCUCCAAAUAGUUGUUUAAGCAACCCUAAAUGCUGAGUUACCACAACACACUCUUAUUUAUACCAUUUUGAUUCAACCUAAUAAACACAGCUCCAUAAUCUGGGCCCCAUGAAUUACUUAUCUUGGCAAAAGCAGAAGUCUGCUAGGGCAAGGACACAUAUAUUUGAAUCUUUUCUUAAAGAAUAAGAGGGAUUCUCCAAUGUAAUGAAUGUAUUUAAGUUUAAAUAUCCUUACUAGUUGUCUAAUGAUUUUAGAAUUUUUCUUUUUUAAUGUUUUUCUGUCCUUUAAUAUCUAAUUUUAAAAAUACUACUAUUACAAUUUUAAAGCAAUAAUUCUUUGUAAAAUUAACUCAUUGGGCUUAUUUUAUUCUCAUUAGUUUUAAAUUUUAAAAAUGUAUAGUGAGAUUUAUUAUUUUCCAGAAGAAAUUAUAUUCAAAAACAGGAACGUUUUGUCAUUUUAUUCAUUGAUCUGGAUUUUUCUUUUUCAGAUUGUGAAUCUCAUUAAAGGGUUAAACUUAAGUACAGUGGGAAAUGUCUCUAAGGUAGAUGCCACAUUGUUCAGUUAUAAAACAAAAACUCUUAAGAUCUUAUUAUUCUCUGGUAUCCUUUUCAGCAUUUUUUUUCUUUUCAGCAUUUUUAAAUUCAUCUCUGAGUCAUUGCUCAGGAAACUAUCAGGAAAUAGUAUUAUCUGGGUAGAGAGUAUUUUCUCAAACAUUAUGUAUUUCAAAAGAUAGUUCUAAUUUUCUAGCAUGAGUAAUAAUGAGCUAGGAAAGUUCAUAUGAAUCAUCUUAUCUGAAUCCUAUUUUAUGUCUGUUUAAAUAAUUUUAAAACAUGAUUUUUAGAGAUAUAAGUGGAGGUCCAAAAAUUAUUUAGGUUUCAAAAUUUCAACCUUUUAAACUAUUAUAAUAUGAAGAAAUAUAUUUUAUAUUGCACCUCAGUAUUUGGAUUCAUUUAUAUUCAAAACUGAAAUUAGUGCUUCCUGAAAAAAGUAACUAUUUCAUGAGCUAUGCAUUGAUAUUUAUUCUAUUUUUAUAUUUUUUACACCAUUUUGGACAUAAAAUGGAGUCCUUAUGGGAACUCCCCAGUAAGGACUUUCUGAAUUUUCAUAACUAGCUGGUAUUAGAACUGGUAUCUGAAAUUGGAUCUUAAGACUUUUAGCCAUUUGGAGUUUUCUCUGUGGCUCAGUGGUAAUGAACCCAGCUAGUAUCCAUGAGAAUGCUGCUUCGAUACUGACCUUGCUCAGUGGGUUAAGGAUCCAGCAUUGCCGUGAGCUGGUGGUGUAGGUUGCAGAUGCAACUCUCAUCCUCUGUUGCUGUGGCUAUGGUGUAGGCUGACAGCUGCAACUCCAAUUCACCCCCUCCUGAGGACUUCCAUAUGCUGCAGGUGUGGACCUAAAAAGCAAAAAAAAGUAAAAGAAAAAAUUUUCAGCCUUUUGAUAUUAUUUAUUCAUAUAAAACAACUAUGACUGUAAAACAGCACAUUUUUAAUAUAUGUGGUGUUUUAACAUACAAAAAUAUAUUUCUCCCUUGAAUUUAAAAAAACGGGGUAGAACCAUAUUAUAUUAAAUUUAAAAAUAAUGAUUGUAGAAAGAUUUAGAGCAAAAUAGUAAAAACAUGAGUAUACUAUCAUUCAGCUUUGAAUUUCCAUAUACUUUUAUCGUUUCUUCACACUUUCAUUUAAAAAAAUAGCAGCUUUAUUGAUACAUAACUGACAUAUGAUUAGCUGCACAUAUUUAAAGUGUGCAAUUUAAUAAUUUUGAUUUUGGGGAGUUCCCAUUUUGUGUCACUAUAGGUUAGGCUGCAUUUUCUAGAAUUUUACAUAUUAGGGAUCAUACAGCAUGUUUAAUUUUUUGCCUGCUUCUCCGAUUUAGCAUAUCUAUCGUGAGAUUCAUCCAUGUUGUUCCAUAUAUCAAUAGUCUAUUCUUUUUAUUGUUGUAGAGUAUUCAAUUAGUAGGAUACACCACAGCAUAUUUAUCCACUCACAUGCUGAUAGUCAUUAGGGCUGUUUUCAGCUUGUGGUCAUGCAGAUAAAGCUGCUAUGAGCACUUGUUUGCAAAUUGUUGUAUAUACAUAUGCAUCUGCUUCUCUUUGCUUAAUCCAAGGAGUGGAAUGGCUAAAUCAUAUGAUAGGUAUAUGAUUAGCUUUUUAUGAAUUUGCCUUUCUGAAUUUGUUUUCCAAAUUGAUUGUACUGUUUAACAUUUACACCAACUUUGUAUGAAAGUUUCAGUUUCUCUACAUCUUUGCCAAUGAUUUAUCCUUUAUCUGAUAUAGUAUUUGCAAAAUAUUUUUUCCUAGUCUAUGGCUUGUUUUUAUUCUCUUACAAGUGCCUUCCAAGAAGUAAAAGUUUUGAAUUUUGUAAGUCCAUUUUAUUAUCAUUUUUUCUUUCAUGGAUCAUUCCUUUGGUUUUGUAUUUAAGAAAUCUUUGCGUAAUCAAAGAUCACAAUGAUAUUCUUCUAUGUUGUCUUCUAUAAAUUUAUAGUUUAGGUUUUAUAAAUUAGUACAUAAACAAUGUUAAGAAAUUAAGGAAUAUGAUGUAUGGAUUAAAGUUCCAAAGAUAGAUAGAUAUAGACAUCCAUUGGUUCAAGCACUAUUUUUUCAAAAGAUUAUCCUUUCCAUGUGAAUGUGAAACUAUUUUGUGACUCUCUCUUCUCUUCCACUGAUAUAUCUAUUUUGAAGGCAAUGCCACCCUGUCUUGAAAAUGGUAGCUUCUACUAAAUCUUGAUAUAAUAUAGUUUUAAUCUUCCAACACUGUUUUACUUUUUCAAUGAGUUUUGGCUAUUCUAGGGUCCUUUGUGUUUUUCCAUGAAUUUUGAAUCGGUGUGCCAAUUCCUACCCUCUCACAAAGAAAAAAGUCCUGUUAUCAUUUUAUAUAGGAUUAUCUUGAUUCUAUUGACAAAUCUGUGGAGAAUUAACAUUUUAAUGUUAAAGCCUUCUAAACCAUUAACAUGGUGUACAUGUCCAUUAAUUUAGAGAUUUUUAACUUUUUUCCAUCAAAUUUGCACAGAUAUCAGUGUACAGGUCCUUCACAGAUUUGUCACAUUUAUUGCUAAAUAUUUCAUGCAUUUCAAUGCUAUUGAACAUGGUAUUUUUGUAGUUUUACUUUCUGAUUGCUCAUUACUAGUAUAUAAAAAUAUAGUUGAUUUUGUUUUUAUAUUGAUCUUCUAUCCUGUUACUUUGUAAAUUUAUUUAUGGUUUUAUUAGUUUUCUUGAAGAUUUCAUUAAAUUUUCUGUAUAAAUUUUCAUUCCGUAGGAAAAUUAACAUGGUUUUACUUUUUCCUUUCUAAUCUGGAUACUUCUCCCCAUUUCUAUAUUUACUUGGGUAGAACAUCUAGUACAGUUUGAGGAAAAGUGAGGAAAAAUUAUAUCCUUUUUUCCUAAUCAUCAGUCUAUUACCACUAAGUAUAAUGCCUGUUAACAAGUGAAGGGUGUUCACUUCCAUUUCUAGUUUGUGAGAAUUUUUAUUGAAAAUAGCUGAUAGAUUUUGUCAAUUUUGUCUGUGUCUAUUGAGAUAAUCAUAUUUUCAUAUUUUAUUUGUUAAUAUGUUAUUUAUACAAAUUGAUUUUCUAUUUUUUUGCUUUUCUCUUUUUUUUUGGGGGGGGAAGGGCAUGCCUACGGCAUGUAGAGGUUCCUGGACUAGGGAAUGAACCUGCACCACAGCCAUAGCAGUGACAAUGCCAGAUCCUUAACCCAUAGAGCCAACAGGAAACUCAAAUAGAUUUUCAAAUGUGUAAGCAAUCUUGAAUUGAUAUGUUCCACAAGGUCAUGAUGUAUUAUCCUUUCAACAUAUAGUAGGAUUCAAUUUGCUAAAAUAAUUCAUAGGUGUAUGGUUGUAUCAAAUCAGAAUUUAAUUUGGAUUUUCAUUGUGGCUGCUGAGGCUGAAUAUAUUUUGAUGUGUUUAUUUGCCAUCUCUGUUAUCUUUGGUAAAAUGUCUUGUGCAUUUUCAAUUGAGUCAUUUGUUUUCUUCUUGUUGAUUUUUACUAAUUCUUUCUUCUUUUAGAAUGCAAGUCCUAUAUUGAAUACAUGUUUUGCAACUAUAUCCCCCUUUUGCUCAGUAUGCUAUUGGGUUUUCUUUGUUUUUUGAUUCUCUAGCAGUGACUUUUAGAGGAGAAUUUUUUAGUUUUGAUGAACUCCAAUUUAUCAUUUUCUUUUAUGAAUCAUAUAUUUGGUGUCAUGUCUAAAAUCUCUGGAUAACACCAGAUGGUGAAUAUUUUCUCUUAUUUUUCACUCUAAGUUUUAUGGCUUUACAUUUCACAUUUAGAUCUAUAAUCCAUAUUUAAUUAUAGAUUAAUUUUUUUGUUAGACUCCACUUGUGCACACACUCCCUGCACCCAUGGCCUAGAAAUUAUUUCAAUGUAGUAAACAGAGGCAGCAACAAGGCUACCUCAUUUUUUUCUCAUUUCUUGAGAUCACGGUCCAUCAUUGCUGUUUUUAACGUCUUAAGUAAUAUGGUUUCAUAUAUUUUCUCUCUUUUCAGUAGUUUCAGGAAGGAAGGUAAAUCCAAUCUCUAUUAUUCCAUCUUGGUUAAAGACAAAAGUCAAAAUUUCCACAUUUUAAUAUAAUGAUAUAAAUCUUGUAUUGAAGGAAAUUGUGUCAUGUUUUGAGAAAAUUGAAAAGAAUUUCACUCAAAUUCAUACAAGAAAAUAUGACUUUUGAUUAUAAUUACAUGCAUAGUAAAGAGGGAAGCUUUACUCUCUAAAUAUUGAUGUGCACAUAUCCUUUAAAAUUAGAUUUUAAUAUCUGUUGCAAUGAGGUAUCUAAUAAAUUGCACGCAUUGUGUGUUAAGUAACCAAGAGUUUCUUCUCUACAGUCUUCUCAAUACCCAAUAUAACAAUGACCAAUUAAGUUGCUUUCAUCAGGUUAUUCAAAGAAAUAGUCAGUAGUUUAUCUCAAUUUCUAAAGUACUUUAAAUGAAAGUCUUCCCUAAUUAUGUGAAAUAAAAAAGAAAUAAAGAAGAAUUAGACUAGGAAUUACUGUUGUGGCUCAGUGCUUAACAAACCUGACUAGUAACCAUGAGGUUGUGGGUUUGAUUCCUGGCCUCGCUCAGUGAGUUAAGGAUCUGGCAUUGCCAUGAGCUGUGGUGAAGGUCUCAGUGUGGCUUGGAUCCCGCGUUGCUGUGGCUGUGGCAUAGGCCAGUGGCUACAGCUCCAACUAGACCCCUAGCCUGGGAACCUCCAUAUGCCGUGGGUGUGGCC
rnacentral:lncRNA from 1 species